rfam:Gorilla gorilla gorilla genomic chromosome, chr22, whole genome shotgun sequence
GCCGGGCAUGGUGGAGCGUGCCUGUGAUCCCAGCUACCUGGGAGGCUGAGGCAGGAGAAUCACUUGAACCCGGGAGGCGGAGGUUGCAGUGAGCCGAGAUCACGCCACUGUCCCUGGGUGACAGAGUGAGACCCUGUCUCAA